CCCUUAGAUGUCCUGGGCCGCACGCGCGCUACACUGAGUGUCUGAGAUACGAGUCUGCCUGGUCCGGCAAGGUCUAGGUAAUCGCUAAAAGACACAUCAUGCUUGGGAUAGAUUAUUGUAAAUAUUAAUCUUGAACGAGGAAUUCCUAGUAAGCGCGAGUCAUCAGCUCGUGCUGAUUACGUCCCUGCCCUUGUACACACCGCCCGUCGCUCCUACCGAUUGAGUGAUUCGGUGAAUAAUUCGGACUGCAGCAUUGCUUGGAUUCCGAGCUUUGCAGCGGAAAGUUUAGUGAACCUCAUCACUUAGAGGAAGGAGAAGUCGUAACA
rnacentral:rRNA from 1 species